rnacentral:rRNA from 1 species
CCUACGGGGGGCUGCAGUGAGGAAUAUUGGUCAAUGGCCGGGAGGCUGAACCAGCCAAGUCGCGUGAGGGAAGACGGCCCUACGGGUUGUAAACCUCUUUUGUCAGGGAGCAAGGUGCAGGUCGGGACCUGCUGUGAGAGUACCUGAAGAAAAAGCAUCGGCUAACUCCGUGCCAGCAGCCGCGGUAAUACGGAGGAUGCGAGCGUUAUCCGGAUUUAUUGGGUUUAAAGGGUGCGUAGGCGGCCUUUUAAGUCAGCGGUGAAAGUCUGUGGCUCAACCAUAGAAUUGCCGUUGAAACUGGGGGGCUUGAGUAUGUUUGAGGCAGGCGGAAUGCGUGGUGUAGCGGUGAAAUGCUUAGAUAUCACGCAGAACCCCGAUUGCGAAGGCAGCCUGCCAAGCCAUGACUGACGCUGAUGCACGAAAGCGUGGGGAUCAAACAGGAUUAGAUACCCGGGUAGUC